rnacentral:rRNA from 1 species
AUUGAACGCUGGCGGCAGGCCUAACACAUGCAAGUCGAGCGAGCGGCGGACGGGUGAGUAAUGUAUGGGGACUGCCCGAUAGAGGGGGAUGACUACUGGAAACGGUAGCUAAUACCGCAUACUAUCGGAUAACCCAUCUGGGAUUAGCUAGUAGGUGAGGUAAUGGCUCACCUAGGCGCCGAUCCCUAGCUGGUCUGAGAGGAUUAUCAGCCACACUGGGACUUAGAAACGGUCCAUCCUCCUUCGGAGGCAGCAGUUGUGAAUAUUGCACAAUGGGCGCAAGCCUGAUGCAGCCAUGCCGCGUGUGUGAAGAAGGCCCUAGGAUUGUAGAGAACUUUUAGUCGGGAGGCGUUGCCGACAGAGAAAGCACCGGCUGACUCCGUGCCAGCCGCCGCGGUAAUUC